CUGAGUCCUGGAGGCGCUGUCGAUCCCACGCAGGACACCACGUGUCACAAAGUUCAGCAUUUAAUAAACAGAACAGAAAAUAAAAGGUUGGAACAGACAAAAACACUGGACACGGCACUACACGCUAAAAAUAAAUAGACAAACAAAACGGACUACACAGACAAACGGUGCACGGAGACAAACAAACACGGAAACAUAGUGGAGCGUGACUUCACGGCCGAAUCCGGAACAAUCAGAGGCUCUGGAGCAGCGACUCAGAGAGACGGAGUGGCACUUCAGCACAAGGCUUACAGACUCGGGGUGCAAGCAAGGCACACAGUAAGUCCAGGGAUUUGUUACCACUUCAUCAUUUGUUCCAGUAAGUCUGUCUUUUAACACGGAGGCAGCCAGAGCAACAAGCUGCUUACACAUGAGAGGAGGAGGAGGAGGCAGCCGGAGCCAGGCAGGACCUCCAUGCUGAAUCGUCUCUAACACUGAUCCUCAAUACUUUAUGGUAGAACACAAAGAGCAGGAUAUACCCCUGGGCCCUCAGGAGUUUGGUACCAUCGCCCUGAAACUCCACGACAGAGUUGGGCAGAAACUGUCUCCUUUGAGGUGCAACAACGUCAAGCCAGCAACCAACACCGCUUACAGGCUGCUUCUCCGAGAAACAACAAAACAAAAGACCCUCCCUGUGCAUGCAGGAGGGACCGAGGCUUCACAGGUGAUCAAGGAGCUGAAGGAAAUGGAGUCUGAUUUACUGUCUGAACUGACAAAACUACGAAGCGACUGCAAAGACGAGAUGCUGGAAAUGAUGGCAGGGGUAGAUGGAAUGAUUUGUAUACCUCCCUUGAAGAGAUGAUGCUGGGGGUGGAUAAUGAAGAGCAAUUGUUCCAUUAUCAAUGUGUACUUCAUCCCCUGUUGCUCAGAAGCAUCCCCAGGCUUGGAGCUGAACAGCAUGCAUUGUUGAAAUAAGCCUACCUUACUGCUGGAUUCAUCAGAAUACAUACUGAGUUGGUUUUGUGUUUCCUCACCAAGUGAUUAUUUUUCCUCUAUGCAUUAUUUCACAUUUUUUUUUAUGCAAAAUUCAGUACUAUUAAAAAAUAACAAGAUAUGGGAUCCUGUUCUGCCUUCAAAUAGAAAAUAACACUUUUAGAAAAAAAUAAAAAGGAUGGUACAAAAAACCUACAACUGUUUGUUCAUCCAAAGCGAAUGUCCCCACAGAUCCCUGUAUCCUCCAGUGCUGUUGCACUCAGUUAAAUAGUUAUCAUUAAUGUUAUUCAGCAUAACAUAUUGGGAGUAUCUGCCUUUAUGUGAAGCUUACAGUAUAUUUUUUUAAUGUAUUUUGAGAACAUUACUCUAAAUUGGUUAUUAAAAAUACUUUACUAUGAACAGAACAUCUCAUUUGCUUACUUAAUGUAGGCUUGAAAUGCCACAUGUCCAUUUAAAGUUCAAUUAUUCAUUGCCAUUUCUUUUUCUAUUCAAUGGCAAAAACUUUGUUAAAGUAACGUUAAGGUUUGUUUGCAAAUGUCCAAAAGGUUAGGAAAUUGCAAGUUAAGGUAGCCACGCAACCUUAACUCUGCACCCUUAUGUGUAUGUUUCCUGUCACACUUGACAUCACAUAUGACAUCAUCAAUGACAUGGGCAAUGACAUCACUAAGCACAUGACAAAUUCUCCCCGAAGACUGGCCAUACGGAAGUCAUUGUGAUUCGUAACAUGUUCAGUAACUGCAUUAUCUUUGCUGUCGAAAUGUGCUUUAACCAACAACAGAUUUCCAUGUACUCAGAAAUGUGUAAUUCAUGUUGAGGUAUGUAGUGAUGAGUAUUUGAUGUUUGGAAAGGAGUACCUGAAAAUGGAUGGGACAUGCAAUAUGUGAAACCCUACAUGUAAGAUAACACUCUCCAUUAAAUUUCACUCAGAAGAUGCCAGUGAAAUAGAAAAGGAAUGUUCUGUAGUACUGUACUGAACUUUGCGACCUUUUGCCACAUUUCAGGCUUC